UGCAGAGGGUGCAAGCGUUGUUCGGAAUUAUUGGGCGUAAAGCGCGCGCAGGCGGUUUCUUAAGUCUGAUGUGAAAGCCCACGGCUUAACCGUGGAAGGUCAUUGGAAACUGGGAGACUUGAGUGCAGAAGAGAAGAGCGGAAUUCCACGUGUAGCGGUGAAAUGCGUAGAGAUGUGGAGGAACACCAGUGGCGAAGGCGGCUCUUUGGUCUGUAACUGACGCUGAGGCGCGAAAGCGUGGGGAUCAAACAGG
rnacentral:rRNA from 1 species